GAUCAGUUGUUCAACGCUGGAUUGUUGUGAAGGCUCUAAUUCCCUGGACCCGUCCCCGUGUUUCCCCGUGUGGAGUGUGGAAGGAGUGACUGGUCGCUAGCGGAGAAGAGAGAGGUUGAACUGAGCGCGUGUGUGAUUUCCCCGUUUUCCCUGGAGCCCUGGACCCCUGCCCCUCACGUCUUGUAUAUAGCACUAACCCCGCACUGUCUGUACAUACACUUGGUGAAGAUCUGUAAAUAAACCGUCUCUGUUUAAACGCUA